UUGCAGGGACUCUCAAUCAGAAACUGAAACCAGAAUCACGAGGAAAAUUACCUUCAGAGAAUGACAAUGGAUUCAGAGGUUUCUGGAAUCUUUCAAGGGCAGUUUUAAGCUAGAAGAAUCCAAAGAUGAAAGCACAAUGCCUUUAUUGUGUUAAAUCACUUAAUAAAUGCUUAUUUGAUCAUUCAUUUGGAGAUCAUCCAGAGAUGGCUCUCUCUGGAUACAGACGGCUCUCUCUAUCACAAGUCUAUUGGAAUUGGCCUGAAUAACCUCAUUGCUGAAAAGAUCUAAGUCCAUCACAGUUGACCAUCACAUGAUCUUGCUAUUGCUAUAUACAAUAUCCUCUUGGCUCUUCUCACUUCACUCAGUUCAUCAAAGUCUCUCCAGGCCUUUGUGAAAUCAUCUUGCUGAUCGUUUCUUAUAAAAACAAUAAUAUUCCAUUACAUUCAUAUGCAUAACUUAUUCAGCCAUUCCCCAACUGAUGGGCAUUCACUCAGUUUCCAGUUAAAGAAUAGAUUUGAACCCAGUUUUUCCCUAACCACAUAUCCAGAAAUGCAUCCAUGAUUUCACAUUGUGUAUAGUCUUCUACUUGUCUUUUAAUAACUUAAAAUAAAUGAACAAAUGAAUGAAUAAAUAUACAAACAAAAAAAUAAAUGAGUAAAGUAUUUGUCCUUUGUUUUCAUGAAGGGCCAAUGAUACUACAGAAUGAUGUCUCGAGACAGACUUGC